UGCGUAGGCGGCCUCUUAAGUUUGGUGUGAAAUCUCCCGGCUCAACCGGGAGGGUGCGCCGGAUACUGAGGGGCUAGAGUGCGGGAGAGGAAAGUGGAAUUCCUGGUGUAGCGGUGAAAUGCGUAGAUAUCAGGAGGAACACCUGCGGUGUAAACGGCUUUCUGGACCGUAACUGACGCUGAGGCACGAAAGCGUGGGUAGCAAACAG
rnacentral:rRNA from 1 species